rnacentral:rRNA from 1 species
UACGUAGGUGACCAGCGUUGUCCGGAUUUACUGGGCGUAAAGAGCGCGCAGGCGGUCGUUCAAGUCGAGUGUGAAAGCCCCCGGCUCAACUGGGGAGGGUCAUUCGAUACUGAUCGACUGGAAGGCAGGAGAGGGAAGCGGAAUUCCCGGUGUAGCGGUGAAAUGCGUAGAUAUCAGGAGGAACACCGGUGGCGAAGGCGGGUCUCUGGGCCGAUACUGACGCUGGAGGAGCGAAAGCGUGGGGAGCGAACAGG